rnacentral:rRNA from 1 species
UACGUAGGGGGCAAGCGUUGUCCGGAUUUAUUGGGCGUAAAGAGCGUGUAGGCGGCUUGGUAGGUCCGCUGUGAAAACUCGAGGCUCAACCUCGAGAUGUCGGCGGAAACCACUUGGCUAGAGUCCGGAAGAGGAGAGUGGAAUUCCUGGUGUAGCGGUGAAAUGCGCAGAUAUCAGGAAGAACACCCGUGGCGAAGGCGGCUCUCUGGGACGGUACUGACGCUGAGACGCGAAAGCGUGGGGAGCAAACAGG